rnacentral:rRNA from 1 species
UACGAAGGGGGCUAGCGUUGUUCGGAAUCACUGGGCGUAAAGCGCACGUAGGCGGAUCUUUAAGUCAGGGGUGAAAUCCCGAGGCUCAACCUCGGAACUGCCUUUGAUACUGGGGAUCUCGAGUCCGGGAGAGGUGAGUGGAACUGCGAGUGUAGAGGUGAAAUUCGUAGAUAUUCGCAAGAACACCAGUGGCGAAGGCGGACUCACUGGCCCGGAACUGACGCUGAGGUGCGAAAGCGU